rnacentral:rRNA from 1 species
ACUUGGAUAACUGUAGUAAUUCUAGAGCUAAUACAUGAAUAUGUGCUUUGGUUCACGCCAAAUGCGAAUUUAUUAGAUCAAAACCAACCGGUUUCGGCCGUUAAAUUGGUGACUCUGGAUAACUAUUCUGAUCGCAUGACCUUGUGUCGGCGACGUAUCUCUCAAGUGUCUGCCCUAUCAACUUAAGUUGGUGAGUUAGUUGCUCACCAUGGUUAUAACGGGUAACGGAGAAUCAGUGUUCGAUACCGGAGAGGGAGCCUUAGAAACGGCUACCACAUCUAAGGAAGGCAGCAGGCGCGCAAAUUACCCACUCUCAGAACGAGGAGGUAGUGAAUUUAAAUAGCGAUGAUGAACUCUUAUGAGGCUCGUCAAUCGAAAUGAGUACAAUUUAAAUCCUUUAACGAGUACCAAUUGGAGGGCAAGUCUGGUGCCAGCAGCCGCGGUAAUUCCAGCUCCAAUAGCGAAUAUUAAAUUUGUUGCAGUUAAAAAGCUCGUAGUUGGAUCCAAGGUUAGGCAUGCCUGUCUGUUCUUAGUAGCAUGACUGUGUGUGUCUGCCUUUAUUAGUUGAAUGUUCAUUAUGGUGGUCUUCAUCGACUGCUAUGAUGUGCUCAACACGUUUACCUUGAAAAAAUCAGAGCGAUCAAGGCAGGCCUUCGUGCUUGUAUGUUGUUGCAAGGAAUAAUAGAAUAGGACUUCGGUUCUAUUUUGUUGGUUUUGAGAAUUGAAGUAAUGAACAAUAGAGACAGUCGGGGGCAUUUGUAUGGUGGCGUUAGAGGUGAAAUUCUGAGAUCGUCGCCAGACAAACUACUGCGAAAGCAUUUGCCAAGGAUGUCUUCAUUAAUCAAGAACGAAAGUCAGAGGUUCGAAGACGAUCAGAUACCGUCCUAGUUCUGACCAUAAACGAUGCCGACCUACAAUCGGGGGUGGUUUAUUAUAUUGACCCUCCCGGCUGUCCUCAGGAAACUUUAAGUUGGUUCUGGGGGGAAUAUGGUCUCAAGACUGAAACUUAAAGGAAUUGACGGAAGGGCACCACCAGGAGUGGAGCCUGCGGCUUAAUUUGACUCAACACGGGGAAUCUCACCCGGUCCGGACACUGGUAGGAUGGACAGAUUGAUAGCUCUUUCUUGAUUCAGUGGGUGGUGGUGCAUGGCCGUUCUUAGUUGGUGGAGUGAUUUGUCUGGUUAAUUCCGGUAACGAACGAGACUCU